AAUGUUUGGUCAAGAGUUCUGCUUUUCUGGUUCUCUUUCUGCCCAGUAUUGGCUGACUGGGGAGUAUACAUUUUAAAGGAACUAAUUUCUAAUGCACAUUCAUGCACACUCCCUGAGGGAAAUGAGUGAAAGACUGUUUGAGACACUGAAUUUCUUGGAAGAAAGUUGCUAUAUAAAUUAGUAUAGAGCUUUUUUUCUCCCCGCCCCAUGACAGGUUUGCAGGACCUGCCGAAGAACUCUCCUAUCGUGCAAGAGAGAAAAUGAAACUCUCUCCUGGCCUCUGUUAGGGAAAUUAAAAUUCCCCCACUUUCCUGCAAGUUUCCCCAACCUCGUGAGUCUGAUUUCCAGAUCAAAGAGUAAGAAUAAACAAUCCUACAGAGAGAAAAUAGACAAGUGGUUGCUGAGGGCUGGAGGUCAGAGUCCAGGCAUUGGAAGAUGACAGCACCAUGGUACAGAGUUUCUUUUUAAGGUGACGAAAAUCUCCUAAAAUUAAUUGUGGUGGAGAAUGAACAACUCUGAGGAUGUAUCAAAAAACACUGAAUUUUGCACUUUAAAUGAGAGAGAGAGAGACAGAGACAGAGACAGA